GAUGAAGAACGCAGCGAAAUGCGAUAAGUAAUGUGAAUUGCAGAAUUCAGUGAAUCAUCGAAUCUUUGAACGCACAUUGCGCCCGCCAGUAUUCUGGCGGGCAUGCCUGUUCGAGCGUCAUUACAACCCUCAGGCCCCCGGGCCUGGCGUUGGGGAUCGGCAGAAGCCCCCUGUGGGCACACGCCGUCCCUCAAAUACAGUGGCGGUCCCGCCGCAGCUUCCAUUGCGUAGUAGCUAACACCUCGCAACUGGAGAGCGGCGCGGCCAUGCCGUAAAACACCCAACUUCUGAAUGUUGACCUCGGAUCAGGUAGGAAUACCCGCUGAACUUAAGCAUAUCAAUAAGCGGAGGA
rnacentral:misc_RNA from 1 species